AUUGAACGCUGGCGGCAUGCCUUACACAUGCAAGUCGAACGGCAGCACGGGAGCAAUCCUGGUGGCGAGUGGCGAACGGGUGAGUAAUGUAUCGCAACGUACCUUUCAGUGGGGGAUAACGUAGCGAAAGUUACGCUAAUACCGCAUAUUCUGUGAGCAGGAAAGCAGGGGAUCGCAAGACCUUGCGCUGAUUGAGCGGCCGAUAUCAGAUUAGCUAGUUGGUGAGGUAAAGGCUCACCAAGGCGACGAUCUGUAGCGGGUCUGAGAGGAUGAUCAGCCACACUGGAACUGAGACACGGUCCAGACUCCUACGGGAGGCAGCAGUGGGGAAUAUUGCGCAAUGGGCGAAAGCCUGACGCAGCAACGCCGCGUGGGUGAAGAAGGUCUUCGGAUCGUAAAGCCCUGUCAGGAGGGACGAAACAAAUGACGGUACCUCCAAAGGAAGCACUGGCUAACUCCGUGCCAGCAGCC
rnacentral:rRNA from 1 species